CUUGACAUCCAGCGAACUUGGCAGAGAUGCCUUGGUGCCUUCGGGAACGCUGAGACAGGUACUGCAUGGCUGUCGUCAGCUCGUGUUGUGAAAUGUUGGGUUAAGUCCCGNAACGAGCGCAACCCUUAUCCUUUGUUGCCAGCGAUUCGGUCGGGAACUCAAAGGAGACUGCCGGUGAUAAACCGGAGGAAGGUGGGGAUGACGUCAAGUCAUCAUGGCCCUUACGAGUAGGGCUACACACGUGCUACAAUGGCGCAUACAAAGAGAAGCGACCUCGCGAGAGCAAGCGGACCUCAUAAAGUGCGUCGUAGUCCGGAUCGGAGUCUGCAACUCGACUCCGUGAAGUCGGAAUCGCUAGUAAUCGUGGAUCAGAAUGCCACGGUGAAUACGUUCCCGGGCCUUGUACACACCGCCCGUCACACCAUGGGAGUGGGUUGCAAAAGAAGUAGGUAGCUUAACCCUCGGGAGGGCGCUUACCACUUUGUGAUUCAUGACUGGGGUGAAGUCGUAACAAGGUAAGCGUAGCGAG
rnacentral:rRNA from 1 species